UGUGUGACCCGUAAAUUUGUCCCUUGAUUUCAUUAAAGUGUUUGGAAAGGGUUCACAGAUUUUGCCAGCAACUCUCAAAGAACUGCUUUAAUGGUCUAAUUGUUACAAUUUGGUAAUUAGCUAGAGUCACAUUUCAAAGUGUGACCGAUAAGAUUUGGCAGAGUUAGCCAGUAUUUCAGAAAAUGGACUAGAGUCAUAGAGAUGCUACUAUUGUUCUUGUCUUCACAUUUAUACUUUUACUUUGGACUCCUGAGACGUACAGCUUUUGUGACUCUGUCACAACCUACUAUUCCCAACACAUCCCUGACAGCUGCAAGCAUCUUUGGGGAAGUGUCCCCUCAAGUUCCUGUUUCCAGUCAUUAAUGCAAAAGAAAGAAAAACGCUAGAGGCACUGAGAACCAUCCAACGCUUCAGCUGGCUUCAGCAAUUGCCACUUGCGCAAGACCCGUGUUUGUGAAAGCAACCCAAGAAUCUUUGAACAGGAUGUAAUCAACCUCCGAUCUGCUGAGAAACACUGCAAAAAUGACUUCCCCUGCCAAAAAUAAUAAUGUCGUUUAUGAGCAGCCCUUCCAUGUCUAAGGAAGAAGUAGCCCCACGUGUGAGUUUCUGCUGGCUUCAGAGGAGCAGGCGAAGAAAAGGGCAAAUCCUACCUACCCCAGCCUAAAAUACACGGCAUCAGAACGCACGGCAAGCUGUGGCUCAUUCCAAAGGUGCUGGCAAUAUCCGGGAAGACUCCUAUCCGCAAAAAUCCAAAGGAAUGAACCUGGAGACUGAAACUGCAGCCGCUAUGUGGUGACCCGGAGGGGACAAGGGAGAGGACAAAGGCCUAUGAGGUAAGGAAGCUGGGCCAGACAGGCAGAAAGAACUUCAGGUAUUGACAGCCUCACCGAGUUGCCCACCCCAGACUUCCUGUUCUUUGAGAAAAAUAAAACCAUAAUUCAUACAGAAAGUGGACUUUUAAUUUUUUUUCAGAUGCGGGUGUUUGGGUGGAUGAUGGUAACAUUCAGACUCCAAUUCUGAUAUUUCCACUCCCCACUCCACACUUUUCAAUCCUUCCCCAAAACGUUUAGGAUAAAAUAUAAAUUGCUUAACUUAGUUCUCAGGGAUGUUUUAAAAUUUACUUGCAAUUCACAUAUUUUUUUAAAAAGUUUUUAUUUAUUUAUUUUGAGAGACACAGAGACAGUGGGAGGAGCAGAAAGAGAGAAAGAGAGAGAGAGAGAGGGAGAGAGAGAAUCCCAAGCGGGCUCCACACUAUCAGCACAGAGCCUGAUGCAGGGAUCAAACCCCUGAAGCCGUGAGAUCAUGACCUGAGCCAACACCAAGAGUCGGAGGCUUAACCGACUGAGCCCCCCCAGGUGCCCCAAUUACAGUUCACAUCUUAAUCUCGUCUCUGGUCACUCACCCACCCAGAUCCUUUCAUUGAAGCCACCUCCAGUGACCUGUACUGCAUGCACAGCCUGACUACGUAGAAAGCCGUGGUUUUCCUCACAUUUCUUAUGCUAUUUUCCUGCGCCUUUUCUUUCUGCGUAGAACAUUCGUCAUUGUCUUCUGUGUUUAGCUAACUCUCCUUGAACUUCAAGGCUCGGAUCAGCUGCUGUUUCCUCCGGGAGGACGCUGGCCUUUCCAGUGCAGUUUAGGAUCUGGAGCACACGUUGUACAACUCUGCCUUCCCACGCUAUAACUCUAGGUCUUUUCAUCCUGCAUGUGCAGUUUUAACCAUGAUGGAAGGAGAGACUCUCUGGUCCAAAAAACUCAACAUAUUUCUUAUCCACAGACACAGGUAAGUGGAAACAACCGUUCUUCCGUGUCGGCAUUAGUCAUUGUGAUCUGUUUUUAACUUGUUGCAGAGUCAAAUAACACUGGUAUGUGUCAUAAAAUGUCUCCAAAUAUUCCUGGGCUUGUUCAUUUGCUUCAAGCACAUAAAGAGGCAAAUGUUAAAGCAAUGUGUUCUGAUCAAGAGACAGCUGGAAAUGGCAGCUGCCUGAUACGGAGCAAUCAAGAAUGGAAGGUUUAUUUUGGACGAGAGGUGUUGUCCAACUGUGAGACUGAGUGAUUGCAGCUGAGAAUAAGUGCAAACACAAUCAAUAGUGGCUCCAGGUCUGAACUCAUUGAGAACCUGUCUCGUGUCACGUCUUUUUCUGCUGCUGCAGUCACACUACAUCCGUAGAUGCCGAUACUACCCGUGGAGGAGGUAAAAAGUUCUUCAGUUUAUUCUUAUUAAGGACAGCUUCUGAGCCAUCAUGAUUUGAAAUUACAAUGACCAAAAGGCUCCUUCAGGAAAAAAGAAACAAUAUAUUCCAAAGUCAAAUUGUGUAACGGACAGGUAAGAAUGCCUCAACUUUAAAUGGUCUUGGGUGGGCAUUGCCUCAAGAGCCAGCCAAGUUGUUCUCUGCUUUCUGGAGUUGUAUGACUAUGGGCGAAGUGAUUUCAUUCUUCCCGGUCCCUAAGAGUGUUGUUAUUUUAUCGAUACAGACCGUAGAAGCGGCUCAAUAAAUAUUUUCUGUUGAACAAUCUAUAA